UUGUGUCUGAAGCAUGAAUAUGUAAUACAUUGUAUCUGAAGUAUAGACAUUCUUUGCAUUGUAUCUGAGGUCUUGACCUGCAGUAUAGUGUUAUUUUAAGUCUGGAAUAACGUCAACGAUGGUCUGAAAAAUACCUUUGUAUUGCACAAGGCAUGUUAGUAUUGGGGGAGAAUGACUGCGACAUACGAUAUAACGAAGUUAUAUGCUGCUAGGAAAGUUCCAUACGGCAUGAUACAACUACAACAAUAAGGUCGAUUUUGUUCUAUUAUGUAUCAUUUCACUUGACGAAAUAUUUGUUAUAUUAUUAGGUGUGUAAAUCGUUUCAUUGUUCACGUACCUGAAUAAUUCUCAUAUUCAUACUUUAUACACGAGUUAGUUAUGUUAUGUUGAAUUUGAUGAUGCGGUUUCGUGCAAUAAAUGCGCGUGUUCAAUGGUUAAUAUUAUAUUGUUUUGCAUUGUCAUUAUCGAAAUCCAUGUCUACAUUUACGCUCUCGUAAUAAUGUAUCACGUGUUAAUCGUUCCUGUCUUAAUCAGCAUCAUUGGAAUAUGUAAUUGCAAAAUCGAAGCCUCGUAUUGAGAGAUGUCAUUGGGUUAAGUAAAUAUAACUCCAAUCGCUAUCAUGAUAUAUCUCCUUUGAAGAUUACGAAACCAUCGCAAACGAACCAAGCUCGUCAGUUUGUCUUUGAUGUACAGACGAACCAAGGUGGCCAGUGGUCAGUUUGUCUUUGAUGUACAGACGAACCAAGGUGCCCAGUGGUCAGUUUGUCUUUAAUGCAAUAAAGAUAGUAUAUUCUCACUUCCGCUAUAAAACACAUGGUGGCGUUUAUCGCUCCUUCGAUUUUGCUAUGACAUUAUCCAAAUGUGCAAAUCACGCUUGUACAAUGAGACCGGAACCCUUGGAUUUCGAAAAUGUACUUGGCGUGGAUGUGGAAUCGUUGAUGUAUAAUACCUCAUGAAACACUUACCACGUUGUAGCCAAGUUGAAAAUGAAUGUUUUCAAAAUCAUGUAUCAUAUUAUAUCAUGUUUAUUAUUGUAUUGUACAGGUCACAAGUAUGUUUGUAGCGACCUUAGAUGAAUUGUUAUAAGCAUAUACCUCUGGAAAUGUCAAAUCAGCAACUACUUAUAUUUUACCGAAGACAAAGUCUGUUCGAGACCAUCAGAAAGACAGUUGUGCUUUUUGGUGAAUUAAUCAUUAGCCACAACAAUAUUUAAACAAAACAGCGAUAUGAACACAUAUUUUUGGAAGGAAGCAUAUCGAGUCUUCUCAUAAAGAUAGUUGUGUUUUCUUCUUGAAACUUUUCAACAAGAUAAAGCAACAAAUAUAAUGAUAAUAAACUUCACCGUGCCGCUGUUUCGUCAUUUAAAAUUAUAACCAAUCUACAAACUCUGGUGAUAUUCUGUUUAUGUCUAGAAAAAAAAUUGAAGUCCUCAUUGUGACGGUGAUUCAUUAUACUGUAAAGCAACACUUUUUGCGAAUUUAUAUUUCUGGAUUGAUAUUUUCAAAUGUUUUUCUCUUUAAUAUUCGGGAAGGUUUGAAUCGAUAUUCUUGAUUUAUUUAACUUGAUACUCAAGUGAGCGCAGAAACCAUUGUCUAGCGAAAUAAAACCAUCUUAAGUGGCAUAAGACCAUAUUUAUAUUUUACGCGAACAUUAGCGACUCGCAAAGCUAAACUGAUUCGCAGUAACUGUUAUAUCCUGGUUGUGUUUUAUAGAGUCUAUAUGUUAGAAACAAAUACAAAAACCUAAAAAGAACACAAAAAUAUUUUAUAAUUUUCUAUGUUGAACUGAGUUAUCAUAUAAAUAUAUUAUAUACUCGUUGUCUUGUGUAUUGUUGGUACUGUUAGUUCACGUUUGAUAAUCUCUCUUCCCAUUGGAAAAGUUAUUAUAGUCAGUAGAUAUAUACAUCUAUAGAUACCGAAAGUGUAUAUGUUGUUUUGAUAGUGUACUAGUAAUGUUUUAAUAUAAAGGUAUGCUGUACUGUGAAAGUGGUGGUUUUCGCGAGCGGCCACUUUUCGCAGUAUAACUAUCAUAAAGUGAUGUGUAUAUUAAUUAAUUGUUAACAUACUCGAUGCAUCAAUACAUGAUAUGUGUUUUUUACUUGUUUUCAUGGUAAACAUAUCUGUAAUUGUAUUCAGAUUAAGUAAUGCUGGAUUCGCGGAAAAUGAUGCACCACAAAAAUAUUUACUUUUACAGCAUCCGAUUUUCGAUAAAACCUGUGUAAUAGGAAUCAUUGAAUAAUAGUUUAAUUUAACUUCCAUUUUAACAAAGACAACAAAUGCAUUGGGCAUGAUAUCACAUUAUAAUCGUCACAUCAUUACCAUCAAUAUCACGUGAUCUAGUGACGUCACAGUUUUUAAAGGUAAGCUGAUCUGUUAUUGAAUUUUAACAAAAUUUGGUUCCAUAAAAUUUCAGUUUUCAUCAUAUUAUGCUAUUGUGUGAAUCAGCAUGCCAAACGAAUACAUAAGCAUUGCAGUAAGUUUUGAUUGCAUUCAUAAGUAGCAUGAAUGCUAAAUUGACUGCAAACGGUUUUACAUGGUUUUUCUUGGCAUUUAUAUAUCCAUGAGUGUCAAAUAAAAAAGGAAGCAUACAUUUUAAAAUCUCCAUGCUUACAGUAUACAGUCAGUACACUAAGUGUCCAUGUCACAGUAAGGUAGCAUACAUCUUAAGUCUACGUGUACAGUAGGGUAGCAUACAGCCUUAACUCGCUAUGUCACAGUGAAGUAGCAUACAGCCUUAACUCUCCGUGUCACAGCAAGGUAUCUUAAGUCCUUCAGUGAACAUUGUUACUAAUAGAGAUUGAAGGGGAUGAUUGAGAAAAUUAAUCAAAACCCAAGUGUCUAGAUUAACCAUGUUCAGUUAAGGAAAUUCCUUAUUAAACAGGUUUUAUUGUACUUUAAUGAGCAAUUACACAUAUUGAAAUAUGAGUCAUGAUGAUAAACAUAUUUGGAUUCUUCAAUUUUACUAAGCAUACAUGAAAUCAUCCAAUGUGCUUCGUAUUUCCAGCAUAAUAUUUUUCAUUAAAGAUAUAUGCUCAUGUAUCUGAAAAUGAAUCAGAGUGGUAAACAACGUUUGGUAACCACAGUGGUGUGUGUUGGUACCCAUAAUUGUUUCUUGGUUACCUCAGUGGUUUUAGAUCUUGUCUUGGAAAGCGCAUUUUUGACAACCACAAUGUUAAGUUGUUAACAUGAUGUUGACUGGUUAUAGAAACCUGUUAUCAAGAACGUUAAUAUUUUGGUAUAGAGCGUGUGUACUAUACCGUAGAUAAUUCUAUUCUAGUGUAACCGUUAUUCAGCAAUGGUGUACCACGUAUUUUCAAACUAUCAUAUCUAUCUUAAAUUUCUUUAAAUCACUUUAUUUACUUUAAUUUCUUUCUGUCUAGUUUUUAUUCCCAAAAUGCGUUUAAUGGGAUGAUAAUUCAUUAUCCGUAAUAAUAAUCAUCAACGGUAUAAUCCUACUCGCAAAAAUUUCAUUUUCGAGAAUGAACAUCCUCUUGCUAAUUAUCGCGAAGAUUAUAUCUCGCGAAAAUAGAGUGAUUUACACUAUAUUCAAUAUCAACCAACUUACUCAUAAAUAAUACCGCCACAUGUACUGUAAUUGCAGAAAAGAAAUGAAUAAUAAUGAUAUUCUCGCAUCAAUUAAUAUCAAUUAUAAUACAUGUAAAUUCUUUUUAGAUGGGGAUAUUAUUUACAAAAUAUAUGUGAAUGGAAUAUGGACGCCAUGACGCUUGAGAGUUCACAGUGAUCACUAUAGAAAAUAAAAAUAACGAAAGAAAGCGAUGGAACAACAUAAGAUGGGCCGCGAUGGCAAGAAACGGUCUGUAAUGCUGUUAUCUAUAAAAUAAAAACACAUUUGGACUCAAAUAGUCAAAUGCAAGAUAGUUUCAAAAUACUUGUUAUACUCAUUGUUGAAUGUUUUGUACAUAAAAACCUUUGUUGUAUGUUGGAAAAUUAGAACACAUGUUAUGUUUAUUUGCGUUUAUCAAACAUUAAAAAUAUACAUUGGAAAAA